rnacentral:rRNA from 1 species
UCGGGAAUUUUGGGCAAUGGGCGAAAGCCUGACCCAGCAACGCCGCGUGAAGGAUGAAGUAUUUCGGUAUGUAAACUUCGAAAGAAUAGGAAGAAUAAAUGACGGUACUAUUUAUAAGGUCCGGCUAACUACGUGCCAGCAGCCGCGGUAAUACGUAGGGACCAAGCGUUGUUCGGAUUUACUGGGCGUAAAGCGCGUGUAGGCGGCUCUUCAAGUCAGGCGUGAAAGCCCCAGGCUCAACCUGGGAAAUGCGUUUGAUACUGUCGAGCUAGAGUGUGGAAGGGGCGAUUGGAAUUCCGUGUGUAGCGGUGAAAUGCGUAGAUAUACGGAGGAACACCAGAGGCGAAGGCGGAUCGCUGGGCCAACACUGACGCUGAGACGCGAAAGCUAGGGGAGCAAACGGGAUUAGAUACCCCCGUAGUCCCUGAGCGGGCUGGCAAGGCGCAU